rnacentral:rRNA from 1 species
AGAGUUUGAUCCUGGCUCAGGAUGAACGCUGGCGGUCUGCUUAACACAUGCAAGUCGAACGGAGUAGAAAUACUUAGUGGCGGACGGGUGAGUAAUGUGUCGCUAACGUGCCCCGGACCCCGGGAUAGCUGCCCGAAAGGGCAGGUAAUACCGGAUGAGACCACGGCCAGGCAUCUGGCUGUGCUCAAAGGUCCGCCGGUCCGGGAGCGGGCGACAUCGUAUCAGGUAGAUGGUGGGGUAAAGGCCUACCAUGGCGACGACGGAUAGCCGGCCUGAGAGGGUGGCCGGCCACAGGGGCACUGAGACACGGGUCCCACUCCUACGGGAGGCAGCAGUUAGGAAUCUUCCACAAUGGGGGCAACCCUGAUGGAGCGACGCCGCGUGAGGGAUGAAGGUUUUCGGAUCGUAAACCUCUGAAUCUGGGACGAAAGGGCCUUCGGGCAGAUGACGGUACCAGAGUAAUAGCACCGGCUAACUCCGUGCCAGCAGCCGCGGUAAUACAGAGGGUGCAAGCGUUACCCGGAAUCACUGGGCGUAAAGGGCGUGUAGGCGGGAUGUUAAGUCUGGUUUUAAAGACCGAGGCUCAACCUCGGGAAUGGACUGGAUACUGGCACUCUAGACCUCUGGAGAGAGAACCGGAAUUCCUGGUGUAGCGGUGGAAUGCGUAGAUACCAGGAGGAACACCGAUGGCGAAGGCAGGUUCUUGGACAGAAGGUGACGCUGAGGCGCGAAAGUGUGGGGAGCGAACCGGAUUAGAUACCCCCGUAGUCC